UUGACUGGGGCGGUCUCCUCCUAAAGAGUAACGGAGGAGCACGAAGGUUGGCUAAUCCUGGUCGGACAUCAGGAGGUUAGUGCAAUGGCAUAAGCCAGCUUGACUGCGAGCGUGACGGCGCGAGCAGGUGCGAAAGCAGGUCAUAGUGAUCCGGUGGUUCUGAAUGGAAGGGCCAUCGCUCAACGGAUAAAAGGUACUCCGGGGAUAACAGGCUGAUACCGCCCAAGAGUUCAUAUCGACGGCGGUGUUUGGCACCUCGAUGUCGGCUCAUCACAUCCUGGGGCUGAAGUAGGUCCCAAGGGUAUGGCUGUUCGCCAUUUAAAGUGGUACGCGAGCUGGGUUUAGAACGUCGUGAGACAGUUCGGUCCCUAUCUGCCGUGGGCGCUGGAGAACUGAGGGGGGCUGCUCCUAGUACGAGAGGACCGGAGUGGACGCAUCACUGGUGUUCGGGUUGUCAUGCCAAUGGCACUGCCCGGUAGCUAAAUGCGGAAGAGAUAAGUGCUGAAAGCAUCUAAGCACGAAACUUGCCCCGAGAUGAGUUCUCCCUGAGACUUAGAGUCUCCUGAAGGAACGUUGAAGACGACGACGUUGAUAGGCCGGGUGUGUAAGCGCAGCGAUGCGUUGAGCUAACCGGUACUAAUGAACCGUGAGG
rnacentral:rRNA from 2 species